rnacentral:lncRNA from 1 species
UUCCGUGUAAAACGAAAGUGGCCGCAUUCGUUUUCAUCCAAAAUAUUGAAAUGGAAGUUGUAUUUGAUGAUAAUACAUAACAGUAUAUAUAAAGAUUCAGGAUGAACACGAAUGCGGCCACUUUCAUUUUUGACAAAAACCAUCUGAAAAGUGACAUUAUUUCGCAAAUUUGGUAGAUUUUUCAUAUUUGAGCUUAAAUCGGAUCGUUUUUAAUGACUUAAUAAGUUAAAAUCUUU